UACUCCAGUGGCUUAAGUGGUUAGAAUGUCUGCCUCUGAUGCAGGAGGUCACAGGUUUGAACCCUGGCUGAGUCA